UGCCCCACUGCUACUUUUCUUGGCACAUUAUAAUCAGUGGAAUAGUGUGAAACCAUAGGCAGGAAUGUAUAUCGCGUGAUGCACAUGCGAUACAAACAAAACAGAACACUGCUCUCCAGCACUACUUUCAGUGGUCCAUUACAUCUGACUCAAACAUCGGAGUCACGCAACAGUGGAUAUAUAACACAACUGAGUGUGUUGUUGUGUUUUCAUGUGGGAGAACUGCUUUUUAAACGCAGCCGUCAAUUUUCAAUCUGUCAUUGUUUCCUCAUGGUUCUUCAAAGUUCUUUGAAUGUGCAAAACAAACCAAACUUACAGCCCCUAGUUUAGUUCCUGAGCACUGGUUCUAUGGAAGUUUUUGGUUAAAAACGUGUAGAAGUGGUUAAAAACUUUAUAGGGUACCUUUUAUCUUGGUUUUGGUUUGGUCCAAGGCUGCAUUACUGAGCAGACAAAUUAUAACCUGAUGCACAAGAUGGUUUGUUACACAGUCCAUUUGGAAAGGCACGGCUAGAAACUGUUUAGAAAAGGAAUGGACCAUAUGUCUUAUCACCGUCCAGCCUCAACCAAUCAAGUGCCAGGACGCUACCAGUGGCGGAGCUAGCUGUGUGGUAGGCCCCAACAUCAGCUGAUCAUCAACACCAUCGCCAAAGACCCCUUGUUCGUUCAAAGGUAACGUCACGUUGUAAAACUACAUAUUGAUGCCAACAUCUUCGCAGACUCAUCACUUCUUGUACAGUCGCAUCUUAGCCAGUGUUAGCAAAAUGCUAGCUAGCUGGGUUGCAUCACCAUUGUCUGUGCUCAGGAAUAAAUACUGGAGCACUUUAUUUAUCCCAAGAAAAGGAAACAUACCAGGCACUGAAGGAGAAAUGUCGACUGAUAAUCACGUCAUCCUCGGCCUCAACAAAAAGUGCUGCUCAUCAGGCAGUUAGCUCUGCCCCGUCACCAUAGUAAAGGGAGGGUGGAGGAGAAGGAGCACUCUGGUGUUUUGUUAUCUUUUGAGGAUGGAGGUCUGGUCGUCCUGUUUUCGUGGCUUUGCCUGUUUAAUGAUGUUUAAUUUAUGCAGUCUUUUCUUAGUUUAGGGAGGGAAGUUCUGGGUCCUACGGCCCACUGCGUGCCUGGCCCAGACUCCCUGCAUCUUUGUGUUCAUUAUGGCCAGGCCUCCAGGCUUCCAUACUUUUGGAUGACUCUAUUAUUUCUAAAUAAACCUUUACUUUCUUUUGCAAACUUG